GGAGAGUUGGCAGAGCGGUUGAAUGCACCGGUCUUGAAAACCGGCGAUGUCGCGAGACAUCCGUGGGUUCGAAUCCCACACUCUCCG
rnacentral:tRNA from 1 species